UAGGGAAUCUUCGGCAAUGGACGAAAGUCUGACCGAGCAACGCCGCGUGAGUGAAGAAGGUUUUCGGAUCGUAAAACUCUGUUGUUAGAGAAGAACAAGGACGUUAGUAACUGAACGUCCCCUGACGGUAUCUAACCAGAAAGCCACGGCUAACUACGUGCCAGCAGCCGCGGUAAUACGUAGGUGGCAAGCGUUGUCCGGAUUUAUUGGGCGUAAAGCGAGCGCAGGCGGUUUCUUAAGUCUGAUGUGAAAGCCCCCGGCUCAACCGGGGAGGGUCAUUGGAAACUGGGAGGCUUGAGUGCAGAAGAGGAGAGUGGAAUUCCAUGUGUAGCGGUGAAAUGCGUAGAUAUAUGGAGGAACACCAGUGGCGAAGGCGGCUCUUUGGUCUGUAACUGACGCUGAGGCUCGAAAGCGUGGGGAGCAAACAGG
rnacentral:rRNA from 1 species